rnacentral:sRNA from 1 species
UAAUAUCGAUAAGUAGAGAGAAUGAAACUUGAAAAUUAGCAGUUACCAGUGCAAAAUUCAACAUUUUUAAUAUGAUCGUAUUUAACUCACAUUAAAUAAAUAUAUAAAUCUUCAAUAAGUAAGGUUUUCCUCUUUUGUUUUGUGGUGUUAGUAGUGAUGGUGUUGUGUACAAAUUUGCUAACAUCCACUUCAACCAGCACCCUUCCCAUGCUGACACUUCAACUGGCAACCGAAAACCAAUGUAUUUGUAAUUUAGUUAUUAAUUUGGAGUUUGUUGCGCUUUGAACCGCAGUGAAAGUCUCCGUGUGUAUACGAUCACAUUCAUGUAAUUUUUCUUUUUCAUAAAUCUUUCUGUACCACUAUUUCUUCUUCCCCUUGUGUAUAUUUCUGUGUAUUAAAUCAACACUGCCCGAGCUAAAA